GACGAACGCUGGCGGCGUGCUUAACACAUGCAAGUCGAACGGUAAGGCUCCAGCUUGCUGGGGUACACGAGUGGCGAACGGGUGAGUAACACGUGGGUGACCUGCCCUGCACUUCGGGAUAAGCCUGGGAAACUGGGUCUAAUACCGGAUAGGACCGCACCGUGAGGGUGUGGUGGAAAGUUUUUUCGGUGUGGGAUGGGCCCGCGGCCUAUCAGCUUGUUGGUGGGGUAAUGGCCUACCAAGGCGGCGACGGGUAGCCGGCCUGAGAGGGUGGACGGCCACAUUGGGACUGAGACACGGCCCAGACUCCUACGGGAGGCAGCAGUGGGGAAUAUUGCACAAUGGGCGGAAGCCUGAUGCAGCGACGCCGCGCGGGGGAUGACGGCCUUCGGGUUGUAAACUCCUUUCACCAUCGACGAAGGGUUUCUGACGGUAGAUGGAGAAGAAGCACCGGCUAACUACGUGCCAGCAGCCGCGGUAAUACGUAGGGUGCGAGCGUUGUCCGGAAUUACUGGGCGUAAAGAGCUCGUAGGUGGUUUGUCGCGUCGUCUGUGAAAUUCCGGGGCUUAACUCCGGGCGUGCAGGCGAUACGGGCAUAACUUGAGUACUGUAGGGGAGACUGGAAUUCCUGGUGUAGCGGUGAAAUGCGCAGAUAUCAGGAGGAACACCGGUGGCGAAGGCGGGUCUCUGGGCAGUAACUGACGCUGAGGAGCGAAAGCAUGGGGAGCGAACAGG
rnacentral:rRNA from 1 species